rnacentral:rRNA from 1 species
CAGUCGCCGCGGGAAAACGUAGGUGGCAAGCGUUGUCCGGAAUUAUUGGGCGUAAAGGGCUCGCAGGCGGUUUCUUAAGUCUGAUGUGAAAGCCCCCGGCUCAACCGGGGAGGGUCAUUGGAAACUGGGAAACUUGAGUGCAGAAGAGGAGAGUGGAAUUCCACGUGUAGCGGUGAAAUGCGUAGAGACGUGGAGGAACACCAGUGGCGAAAGCGACUCUCUGGUCUGUAACUGACGCUGAGGAGCGAAAGCGUGGGGAGCGAACAGGAUUAGAUACCCGAGUAGUCCCUGUCUCUUAUAC